rnacentral:rRNA from 1 species
ACGAGUUGUAGAUUGCAGGUUGGAAUCUGUGUGGAAGGCGGUGUCCAAGUCCCUUGGAACAGGGCGCCCAGGAGGGUGAGAGCCCCGUGGGAUGCCGGCGGAAGCAGUGAGGCCCUUCUGACGAGUCGAGUUGUUUGGGAAUGCAGCUCCAAGCGGGUGGUAAAUUCCAUCUAAGGCUAAAUACUGGCGAGAGACCGAUAGCGAACAAGUACUGUGAAGGAAAGAUGAAAAGCACUUUGAAAAGAGAGUGAAACAGCACGUGAAAUUGUUGAAAGGGAAGGGUAUUGCGCCCGACAUGGGGAUUGCGCACCGCUGCCUCUCGUGGGCGGCGCUCUGGGCUUUCCCUGGGCCAGCAUCGGUUCUUGCUGCAGGAGAAGGGGUUCUGGAACGUGGCUCUUC